rnacentral:rRNA from 1 species
UACGAAGGGUGCAAGCGUUACUCGGUAAUUGACUGGGCGUGAAAGCGUGCGUAGGUGGGUUUGUUAAGUCUGAUCGUGGAAAGCCCUGGGCUCAACCUGGGAAUGCAUUGGAUACUGGCAGGCUAGAGUGCGGUAGAGGAGUGGCCGGAAUUCCCGGUGUAGCAGUGAAAUGCGUAGAGAGUCGGGAGGAACACCGGUGGCGAAGGCGGCGAUCUGGGUCGCAUACUGACGCUGAGGAGCGAAAGCGUGGGGAGCAAACAGG